CUGCAGGACUAGAGCCCUGGGGCCAGGGUAGACCCAGCAUCCACGGUGCACCACAGGGGAGCUUCAUCUGGAUGGAGACCAGCUCUCCCUGCAUCCUGGUGCUCUGCCUGGCAGUGCAGUGGAACCAGGGAUGGAGCUGCAGGAUGAUACCAGAACUUCAGGAACUGCGUUGCAGGUGUCACACCUUGGAUUCACCAUAGCUGGCUGAAAGCAGCGGCAGCAGUGACUCCGAUGACAACCAGUGGAUUAGCCAACAAGACCCAGAUCACCCCACCUGAAUGGUCCUACAAUGAAAUCCAACCACUGGUAAGAAGGAUGACUGCCCUACUCUGCCCACACCAGAGCUUGGUCAGUCUACACAUGGCUGAAGCUUGAGGAUCCUGCAAGCUCUGCUCUAGUCACAUACCAGAAGCUGACUAGUCAAUGCACAGCUGAAGCUAAGAGGACAAUCUCAGGAUGAAUAAAUGUGGAUAUAAUUCAUAACCCUAGUUAUAAUUCUGUUAAUACUGAUUGUUCUAUUGUUAUGUUACCACUGCAAAUGCUGCUAAUGUCUAUGCCCAGAGGGAGUUUGCCAUGCCCAUGUGUAGUGUAAGCAUGUUUCUAUUACAUACACUGAUGUUACCAUUUCUGCCUCUACUAAAAGGGGAGGAAUCUCUAGAAAGAUGCCCACACUGUGUACAUACUACCUGGGUAAGGAAUACCACAGUUAAAACUCUACUGUACCAUACCUACAGUACAGGAACCAAGUUAGGAACCUGCGCAUACAACCAGAACACCUCUUCAGUCUGUGACCCAGGAAAUAAUCAGCUAUAUGCAUGUUAUGACCUGAAGUGCUUACUGUAUGAAUUCUGGUUUGAGGUAUAUAUUAAAUCAGAGAGAGAAAAAGAAAAAGAGCUUACAACUUGAACCAAAGAAGCCCCUACCUCUUAUAAAGGGCAUUUUUCCUUGUACUUUGAUGCCUGACAUGCCACAUAUGUUCAUAAUCCUAAAAAACCAAAAGCAGUCUGCAAUGGUUUAACACAAGAGAGGCUUAGCAGGAGCAGCCCUAAACAUCUGUACUGAGAACCACAAAUUGGAUGCCCAGACUGUAACAUUCCUUGGUCUAUGCUACCACAGCUCCAACAUUUAUAUUCAGGAAGGACUGCUCUGCUAAGUAGUAUGUGAACCAAACCAAAUUGUAAGACAAGGACAUGCAAUCCUUUAAAUUUUACUACUUAAAGCCAGAGCUACCUUUUUGGUCUGCAGGACAGACAGCACUAUUACGAGUUGAUGGACAAGGAGCAGGACUUGGAGCUCCAGUACUAAUUGUCAAAAAGAAUAGAAGGACUCAAGUGUGUCCAACCCUGCAAUUCCGGGUCCAUAAGUCAUUCUGUAAG
rnacentral:lncRNA from 10 species